GUAGUCCACGCCCUAAACGAUGUCAACUAGGUGUUGGAAGGGUUAAACCUUUUAGUGCCGUAGCUAACGCGUGAAGUUGACCGCCUGGGGAGUACGGCCGCAAGGCUAAAACUCAAAGGAAUUGACGGGGACCCGCACAAGCGGUGGAUGAUGUGGAUUAAUUCGAUGCAACGCGAAAAACCUUACCUACCCUUGACAUGUCAGGAAUCCCGGAGAGAUUUGGGAGUGCUCGAAAGAGAACCUGAACACAGGUGCUGCAUGGCUGUCGUCAGCUCGUGUCGUGAGAUGUUGGGUUAAGUCCCGCAACGAGCGCAACCCUUGUCAUUAAUUGCCAUCAUUCAGUUGGGCACUUUAAUGAGACUGCCGGUGACAAACCGGA
rnacentral:rRNA from 1 species